UCAGCCCCUUGCAGCAUACUUUUUCCCUAUCAACAGUUAACUGCAACAAGAACCAAUGUGCAGAACAAUGGUCUUGAGGCUGGGCAAGAAUCCAGGCAGUCACCAGGAAGAUGUCAUUACCUUCUCAGCAUUAUAGGCUGUAGAAGUGCCUUUGAACCAAAGAUUCUAGCAGAUCAUUCCUGUGACUACUUAUAACAGCCCUCUCCACUUCUUCAGCCAUUUUAAGUGCAUCUACUUGUUGUGUCUUAUUCAUUAGAAGAUAACUUGGUUGGCAGUUAUUUCUUUGAUUUACUGGAAUACCAGGGAAUUGUGUACAGCUGGGGAGACAGAGAAAGGAUGCAAAGAAAACUAAGAGGCUUCCUGUCUUGCCAUGUGAUCAUCCCUCUACCAUUCGCCAGUUUCACCAGAUGGGAUACCCAAUCUUUUACUGCGAGCCUCCGAAACUGUGACCUGAAACAAACCUUCCUUCCUAAGAAGCCCCUUUCAGGUAAUUUAGUGAAAGUAAUGAAAAGCAUAUUAACACAGCAGACAAACUGAAAAGGUCGAGUUUUAAGUCUGAAGUGAUGUUUUAAGCUUUCUCAGCUCUGGUAAAUCAGCUACCGUUCUCCUAUGUACUUUUCAGCUUUCAAAAGUACGUUCACGUCAUCAUUGUCUCCUCUCUUCUUUAUGUUUUGGAUUUAGACUCUUCAUACUUCAUUUAUUGUUGUUUUACAGAGUGUCCAAAGGGCAUGGCAAUAAACACAUUCUUUCUACCAUCUUAAAGGGAAAUGCAAAAUGUCCUUUAUCCUUCUGCAUGGCUUUCAAGUAUCAUAUAAUGCAAAACUGACAUUAAAUAAUGAAAUAAUUCUAACUCUGGGAAUCCAUCUCUUUUUCUGGGAUAGGUUGUCUUUUGGACAAGAGAGGGAAAAUCACCAGAGAAUACACACAUCAGCUCUAAAACAAGUGUUCAUUAAAAAAAAUUCAGUAGAAUUUCAGAGUAGCAGGAAUGGGACCAGCACUGUGGCUCAGAGGGUUAAUUUAUUGCCUGUGAUGCCAGCAUUCCAUAUCUGAACAGUUUAGAAACCUGAUUGUUCUGCUUCCCGUCUAGUUCCCUCCUAACAUGCCUAGGAAUGCAGUGGAAGAUGGCCGAAGUACUUGGGUCCCUGCUGCCUAUAUGGAAGACCAGAAUGAAAUUCCUAGCUUCUGACUUCAGUCUGACCCAGCCCUAGGCAUUGAGGCCAUUUGGGGAGUGUGUCAGGGGAUAGAAGAUCUCUUUCCCUCUCCUUCUCCUUUUCCUUCUCCCUUUGUCACUCUGCCUUUCAAAUUAAAUAAAUAAAUCUUAAAAAAAGUAGUAGGCACGUGGGUACCUUUUGUCCAUUCACUCUUAACAAAGUGAGAUAUACUGUAUUAAAGGCACUUUUCAGCUGAAUGAUUAGGAAAGCACUGGCCCCUCUUCUAGAGUAGUAAGAGGCUGGGAUACUUGAGCAAAUGAUGUGAUGACUCUUGGCAGCAGCACUGCCC